GCUGGGUGUGGUGGUGCACACCUGUAGUCCCAGCUAUUUGGGAGGCUGAGGCAGAAGAAUCGCUUGAACUCGGGAGGUGGAGGUUGCAGUGAGCUGAGAUUGCAUCACUCCACUUCAGCCUGGGUGACAAAGCGAGACUCUGUCUCAA
rnacentral:SRP_RNA from 2 species